CCAGACUCCUACGGGAGGCAGCAGUGAGGAAUAUUGGUCAAUGGGCGCAAGCCUGAACCAGCCAAGUCGCGUGAGGGAUGACGGUCCUAUGGAUUGUAAACCUCUUUUGUCGGGGAGCAAGGCCCGCCACGUGUGGCGGGAAGGAGAGUACCCGAAGAAAAAGCAUCGGCUAACUCCGUGCCAGCAGCCGCGGUAAUACGGAGGAUGCGAGCGUUAUCCGGAUUUAUUGGGUUUAAAGGGUGCGCAGGCGGCACGGCAAGCCGGCGGUCAAAUCGCGGGGCUCAACCCCGCCCAGCCGUCGGAACUGCCGGGCUAGAGUGGGCGAGAAGUGCGCGGAAUGCGUGGUGUAGCGGUGAAAUGCAUAGAUAUCACGCAGAACUCCGAUCGCGAAGGCAAGUGUCCGGGGUGCAACUGACGCUGAGGCUCGAAAGUGCGGGUAUCAAACAGGAUUAGAUACCCGAGUACC
rnacentral:rRNA from 1 species